GGCACGGUGGUUUAGUGGUUAGCACGUUUGCCUCACGCUUCCAGGGUUGGGGGGUCAAAUCCUUCCUCGGCCC